CCCAUAAUUCCAAGGGUCAUCUAAUGACAUGAUGAAAUAAAAAUGCAUAGAGAAUUUGAAAGGAAAUAAGAGUCCAAUAUGAAAUGGACUCUUCCAUUUCAAUGCACAACAAUAUGGGCGUCCCACAUUUAUUUUGGCAUGGAGUUCUUUCCAGGAGAAGGACUCCACCUCCUCUUCCAUGCCCACAAGUCCCAAGGCACCAUCUGAUGGUGCACAAAAUUAAGGGACGUGUGGAAGAUGUAAGAGAAUUAAAAUAAGUAAAGGAGAAGGACUCCUCUCC
rnacentral:lncRNA from 1 species